rnacentral:rRNA from 1 species
UAUCACGGGAGACACACGGCGGGUGCUAACGUCCGUCGUGAAGAGGGAAACAACCCAGACCGCCAGCUAAGGUCCCAAAGUCAUGGUUAAGUGGGAAACGAUGUGGGAAGGCCCAGACAGCCAGGAUGUUGGCUUAGAAGCAGCCAUCAUUUAAAGAAAGCGUAAUAGCUCACUGGUCGAGUCGGCCUGCGCGGAAGAUGUAACGGGGCUAAACCAUGCACCGAAGCUGCGGCAGCGAACGUAUCACUUAAAGCGAUUCAGCGGGUUACGAUUGACGGAGCGAAGCGACGUCAAAGCGUAUACAAAGUCGAGUCGGUUUAAGGAUACGUUCGUUGGGUAGGGGAGCGUUCUGUAAGCCUGUGAAGGUGGCCUGUGAGGGUUGCUGGAGGUAUCAGAAGUGCGAAUGCUGACAUAAGUAACGAUAAAGCGGGUGAAAAGCCCGCUCGCCGGAAGACCAAGGGUUCCUGUCCAACGUUAAUCGGGGCAGGGUGAGUCGACCCCUAAGGCGAGGCCGAAAGGCGUAGUCGAUGGGAAACGGGUUAAUAUUCCCGUACUUGGUGUUACUGCGAAGGGGGGACGGAGAAGGCUAUGUUGGCCGGGCGACGGUUGUGU